AGAUCAUGGAAUCAUUGCAGGUCUGCAUUUUGAAAAAUCUUUUUUGCAGUUUGAAGAGAAUCUGAGGGGAGGUGGUGUGGGAACAGGAACACAAGGAUCUGAGGCAGAGAUCAGUUGGUGAGUUCACUGCAAUAGGGACAAGAGAGGAUAAUGGUGGUGGUGGUGGUGGUGGUGGGGUCAGCUGGUGGAGUAGCAGUAGAAAUGGAGAAGAGAGGAUGUGUUCAAGGCCUUUUCUGAGAUAAAGUCAACAGAUCUUAAUCAACUGGAGGUGAUCAGUGGUGGCAUUGACUUCAAGAUUGGGUCCAAGUGGAACUUUGAAACCAUUUUCCUUGAACUAGAAAGGGAAUUAGCUGAGGAGCCCGACCCAACAAAGGUUUGGGGGCGACUGGGCCCCAAGGGCCGAGAGACAGGGGUGAGUUCCGGCAGAGGCUUUAGACGGGAAAGCAGGAGGGCCAGAGGGCGGGAAAAUCACGGAGCAUGCGCACAGCACGGCUUAAGCCUGCACAGCCCUUCUCGGUGGGCGGAGUCUGUGGUAAGAUGGCUUGAAGGACUUCCUUGGUUGAGCUCCAGGGGUGAGUGGGCUUCUGGUGUCCUACGCCAGGCCCCCAGGCCUCCUGUGGCUCACCCCACGCCGAUUCCACCCGCCAGGGCCAGGGACACAUUCGCUGAGGCGCCUGCCCCGACCGCCACCAGGAGAGUGGAAGGCUGGGCCUGGUUUGACGCUUUCGCGCCCGACCUUGACCUAAGCCGAGCCUGGCGUGGCGCCCUCUUGCCCAGUGUGGGCAGAAAGGAGCGCUGGAAGUGCCUUCCUUGAGGGUCAGGUCGCGCUCUGAAGAGGUCGGCAGUGACCCAGGUCUGUGGGGCAGCGGGAGCCGACAUGAGGAGCUGAUGCUAUGGAGAGCGAGCACCGAGGAGUGAGAGGACGUAAUUGGCUGAGAGGAGCAGAGAACCUGUGGGGAAGGACUGUAGGAGUCUGAGGUUUGCCCUCCAAUCAGUGGUCUGCCUUCAUUUUCCAGAUUGAUGAAGUCUGCCUCAGAGAAGGGAGCAGUUUAUUUAAUUUCAGGAGGACCUGGGGACCUCCUGUUCUGCCAUCUUGCUUCAUCACCAACACCCUUUUUCGAUCAACAUUUUGAGUAUGCUUUCCAGCUAUGUUUGGCCUCCAUGGUUUACG
rnacentral:lncRNA from 1 species